GGGCCUAUAGCUCAGUUGUAGGGCAUUUCACUUCUUUAGAAGAGGUCGCCAGUUUGAACCUGUUCGGGCCCU
rfam:Picea glauca, whole genome shotgun sequence.